rnacentral:rRNA from 1 species
UGGGGAAUAUUGGACAAUGGGCGAAAGCCUGAUCCAGCAAUGCCGCGUGAGUGAUGAAGGCCUUAGGGUUGUAAAGCUCUUUUACCAGGGAUGAUAAUGACAGUACCUGGAGAAUAAGCUCCGGCUAACUCCGUGCCAGCAGCCGCGGUAAUACGGAGGGAGCUAGCGUUGUUCGGAAUUACUGGGCGUAAAGCGUACGUAGGCGGUUAUUCAAGUCAGAGGUGAAAGCCUGGAGCUCAACUCCAGAACUGCCUUUGAAACUAGAUAGCUAGAAUCACGGAGAGGUGAGUGGAAUUCCGAGUGUAGAGGUGAAAUUCGUAGAUAUUCGGAAGAACACCAGUGGCGAAGGCGGCUCACUGGACGUGUAUUGACGCUGAGGUACGAAAGCGUGGGGAGCAAACAGGAUUAGAUACCCCUGUAGUCCCUGAGCGGGCUGGCAAGGCGCAU